UCUAGGAUAAGAUACAGAAAGAGAUCGAAGACAACAUACGGUAGUAAAGAUUGUAAGUCCUGCAAGACAAAUGGCAUCACGGAGGGAGAUCCCUCAGAGUAUCCAUAGGCUCAUGAACGAUGCUGAAGCACUUCUGGACUCCAUUCAUGGUGUAGAGCAUCGAGCUACUUGCAGCUGUCACCACUACAUGGCCUGUACACUUCAACAUCAUCAAUAUCCAUGUGGCUAACUCUGUUCUUACUACUGCAGCUCUCAGGUUCCAUUGUGGUCAGAGAAGGAUGGCAUGUCAAGCUGGUGGUCGCAAGAGAGGAGGAGCUGGCGGUAACGUUUGACGUGGGCGAUGAAGUUUGUGCUGGUGUUGGAGCCUCAGAGGAGGCAAGCGGCCUUGUUGUAGCCCCGGGCAGUAGCCUCUGCAGUCUGGAAGGUACCCAGCCACAUCAUGAUCUUUUGCGUGGUGUCCUUGAUCUCCACCACCCACUGUACUGAAGGCGUUUACCUGACACCCACAAACUUGCGGGUGCUGUUCUUGCUCCUAACCUUGUAUUUGAGGCCAGGUUUCGAGUUGGGAUUUGGCACUGGAUUCCUUUGGGGUUUGAACUGGAGCUGCAUGGAUGUGAGAUGGCGGGCUGCAGACAAGGAAGGAGAUAUAUAGCACAGGGAUGACCAAGGUGGUAGAUUGCUUGUCAUGGCUUUCUCGGUCACUUUUAUUUAGACUUUGUGGUGUUCAAGUUGAUGUUGAGAUUGUUUGAGUUUGUGCUGAACAUGUUUGUGGCCUUAAAGAUAUGUAGAUAGAUUUGGAGUUCCUCAUGCUAUUAUUUGGCCAAUCUAACCUUGGCUACAAUGUCUUCCUUCCCAUAAUGGAUUAAUUGACAUGGAAGCAUCAAACUCUUCCAAUCUCUUCUGGUCUUCCAGUUUCAGGUGUUUUUUAUUUUACUGCUACUUUUUAUUUUUGAGAUUUUUAACGUGUAAUGUUUGUCUAGAAGUUGAUCCUUCAUC
rnacentral:lncRNA from 1 species